UGUGGGUUUGGACAUCACUGCCUGAAAAGUACUCAACCAACUGUGGGAAGUCCAGGAGGAAGCAAAGAGAGACCUGAGAGCUCAAACAACCCUCAAGAAAGGAGGAAAGAUCGCUGAGGAUGACAAAGGUCUUUUUGCAGACAAAUGCGUCCUGUGGGGGAUCCUGAGGUGUGUUUGCAGGUGGACUUGUGGACCUCCUGCCGUGUCUGAGUUUCCCAUGGUGUAUCACUGGCAUUUGCUGGCUCAUGUGG